AGUACUGCCUGCCCAGUGACACUACAGUUAAACGGCCGCGGUAUCUUGACCGUGCGAAGGUAGCAUAAUCAUUUGUCUCUUAAAUAGAGACUGGUAUGAAUGGCAAGACGGAACUUAACUGUCUCCUUUUCCUGACUUUGAAACUUACUACCUUGUGAAGAGGCAAGGAUAAUUUCGUUAGACGAGAAGACCCUGUCGAGCUUGCAGCCAACAAUUAGUAUUUUAUUGACCUAACAACUUUACUAAUUUGUAUAAUAACCUUAUAAAAAUUUAGGUUUAAAAUAUCUUUAUUUCGGCUUUGGUUGGGGCAACCGUGGAGAAACAAAAUCCUCCAUUUAUAACUAUUCAAGCUAGAUUUACAAAUCUAAUAUUACUAUAUAAAUUAUAUUGAUCCACCCAGGUGAUCAAAGGAAAAAGUUACCGCAGGGAUAACAGCGUUAUCUUUUUUGAGAGUCCAUAUUGACAAAAAGGUUUGCGACCUCGAUGUUGGAUCGGGACAUCCUAAAGGUGCAGAAGCUUUUAAGGGUUGGUCUGUUCGACCAUUAAAGUCCU
rnacentral:rRNA from 1 species